rnacentral:snRNA from 1 species
UUCCUAGUUUGGUAGGACAUAUACUAAAAUUGGAAUGCUGCAGCAUGACCCCAGCUCAAGGAUGACAUGUAAGGCAUGCUGUAUUUUCUU